rnacentral:lncRNA from 1 species
CUCUCUCUCUCUCUCUAUCUAUUUAUUUAUUCAUCUAUUUAUCUAUCUAUCUGUCUAUCUAUCUGUCUGUCUGUCUGUCUGUCUGUCUGUCUGUCUAUCUAUCUAUCAAUCUAUUUAUCUAUCUAUGUGUGUUUGUAUGUGUGUGUGUAUAUGUGUGUAUAUGUGUAUAUAUAUAUAUAUAUGCAUGUGUAUGUAUGUAUGUAUGUAACUGUGUGUAUGAGUGUGUAUGUGUGUGUGCGGGGGGGUCUGUCUCUGUGUGUGUAUGUGUGUGUGCAUGUGUGUGUGUGUGUGUGUGUCUGUGUGUGUGUGUGUGUGUGUGUGUCUGUGUAUGCAUGCAUGCGUGUACCAUUGUUUUCUUUUUUCUGGUUUAAAUUUUUUUUCAAAACAGAAAAAUAUUUAUGCAGCACUAAUUAACAGCUUGUUGUAAUUCACUGAUUUCACCAGUUUUAAUUACUUUUAAUUAGUUCCUUAUUAUAAAUCCUUAAUCAAAUAACAUGAAAGAUAAAUUUUGCAGUGUUUUAACAACAUUUUAAAAAAUUAUUAACGUACAGACAGCAGCAGCAGCAGCAGCAGCAACAACAACAACAACAACAAUAACAACACAGACAAUACAUUGUAUUAAAAACUUUGUCUUCUUUGUUCCAGGAAAAGAAAUUUUGAUAAGAACAGACUUUAAAUUGAUUAGAUUUAAUAAUAUUGCUAACGAAGCUGUGAAGUUUCAGCAUUAUGAAGUAUGUUGGUAAUGAACCAAAAUGAAACAGUAAAAUACUUUAAAUAAACUGGGAAGUUGCAGAACAAUCACUCAUCUGAGCAGAGUUAUGAUCAGAGAUAAUCCAAAUGUGGCCAUCAUGUCUUUGUUUAAGGUGUAAUGCAUCAAAAACUACAUUAUUCUGGAUACACAGAUUUCUUUUUUUUUUUAUGUGAGUUGAGGGAAAUUUAGCUGCCAUUUCUUGCAGUUUAUGCAACCAUGUAAAGACUCAUUCAUUGGUUUGAUUCAGCUGUGUGGAGAAAUAAUGUUCUUUGUGAAGUGACUCUGAGACAGUCUUACAUACCUGUUUUGAUAAUUUCAUUUGUCUGAUAGAACUGAAGACUUUGGUUCUAUAAUAUUUAUGAGGAAUCAGAAAUGAGAUUAUGUGGCAUGAAUACUACAUAAUAUAAUUUCUGUUUCUUUAUAAAUCAGAGAGAAUUUCAGCUGCUUGAGUUGGCAGUGUACCAAAAUUCAGGCAGAUACACAAAUGCUAUCAGCUUGCAUUUUGUUAUAAAUGCUGUGUUUUGUCUCAGGCAAAUACACUUCAUAAUUUCAAUAGCCCAGCUUGUUAGAGAGUAACUCUGACUUUUGAGGCUCCUUAACUAUAUAUUUCUAGAAAAAAUACCUCAAGAUAUGUCAUGUUGAAAAUUUCUAAAAUGAAUGAAACAGUGUUGUACAUGAUUAUAACUGACAAGAAAUUUUAAGAAUUUCAUAAUAAGGAAAAACAAAAGAAUCCAAUGCAUCUAUUUUAUUAUUCCUUAAUUUCAAAUUCAAAACUGUUAAUCCCACCAAAUAUUAUGAUGAAAUAAUUAUCUCCCUUGUAUUAACUGUCUGCUAAGAGACACCAAGUGUUUGAAAUAUCUGAAUGUUACAGCAUAAAAUAUAAUCUUAAAAUAAAAAAAGAAAAGUCAUUAAGAGAUCAAUUUACAUUUUAAUUUCUAACUUUAAUGCUUAUAAUUAGAUUUUCACAAUCAAUAUGUUUCUGUAUUUUAAAUCGUCGCUUUUCUUAAAUGCAACAUUAGGUUACAGUAAUGAGGCAUUUGUUAGAUUGCAUCUUUCCUUUAUAAAAUAGUUCCCCUAUCCCUGAUCCGCUGUAUGAGGAUGUAUGUAAACAGAUGCUGCAAGAUGAUACACAGUUCUUAGGUGUAAUGUGUGUGAAUGAGUAUUUUCAAUCAUUCAUUUUGUCAUUUUAUUCUUUAGCAAAAGAGGUUUACUGUAUAAGUACCAGCCUUUAAAAAAGUACUGGGGUUGAUUUAUUUGACUAAACUCUACAAGGUGGUGCCACAGCUUGGCCACAGUCCAAUGACUGAAAGUUAAAGAUAAACGAUAAAAUAUUAGAGUGCUUGCUUUGUUUGACUGUACUCUAUGCGUUGAGCAAAAGCAGAAUUUGAUGCUUAAUUAUUAACAAAAUCCUUCUCAAUCUUUUACGACAGACAUUAAUAGAUAGCUUCACUAUUAUUGCAAGUCGACUGUACUUUAGUGUGUCUGAUGCGAAAAGAUAUGGCAGGUUGUCUAAAAUGGUAUCCAUAAGUCUCUGAGUAAAUGAUGUGAUUGCUCAGAAUUAUAUACAACAACCGAUAUCACUUAUAGCUUAUCCGAAUUCUGUGUUCCAUUGACUGUCUGUAGUCCACUUUUUUCUUUCCUUCUGACUUUCUUUCACUCUUUCUGCCUCUCUUCCUCUCUCCAUCAAAACUUCUCCUUAACACACACUAACACAGAGGCUUAGACACACACAUAGACUAUCAAGACAUUGCUGAGUCAAUGUCUGAAUAUAUCUAUUGAUUAAUGUAUCAUGGAUAUCUUUCAAAUUUUUAUAAAAGUCAGAAUUACCAGCACUGUUCCUGUAAAUAGAGAUAAAUAGCAAAAACAGAAUGAUGAUGAUGAUGAUGGUGAUGAUGGUGAUGAUGAUAACAUCAACAAAACCAAAAUAAAUUAAUUUCUGAAUGUACUCGUUUCAAUAAAUAUCUAUUAUGAAAGUAAAACUAAUCGUAACCAACAGUUGAGAGACUAUUUUUAUUGUUUUUUUCUCAAAGACGAAUUUGACCUUCUGUAUCAAGUGGAAUUUUCACAUCUGAUUUGGCAAGGCAUCAUCAACUAUGGAGAUAUUUCACAUGAAUUUGGAUAGAAGUGAUAUCCCAGAAUCUUAUGGGAAUAAAGCUCUGUCAAUAGGUUAACCAGUUAUAGGUAUAAGUAUUCAUACAAUAGUCAGCUAUGCUAAGUUCAGUCAGACAUUUAUAUUUAUGGUGGUAACUUGCUAAAGUCUAUUGGGACCUGGAUUUAGUUUCCUUUUUUGCAUUCGAAUCUUUAGAUCAAGGUUAUUUUUGUUCGUUUCUUGCUGGUUACUGUUAUAGAAAACCUUACAAAUUGUUAUCAACAGAUUGUUGUGUAAAUUCAACAUUUUAGAGAUAUUUUUUUUAUGUUCAGCACAAAAAAAACAAAACAAGAAAUAUUGUCUUUUGUGGUUUAUAUAGAAAAUAUCUAUACUAUAAUGGAGAAAGCUGCUUAUUAAUUAUGUGUGUAGCAGUUACUAAAAGUACUAAAAGAAAGCAAUUAUUAAAGGGUUGACCGUCUGGAAAUAUUUUUAUAAAUUUAUGUUCUAAGAAAUUUCCUAUUAUUUCGAUUUCUCAAGCUUAUUGAAUUUUUUUAACUCCAAUUUCUCGCAAAUCUAAAUAUUCAUUGCAUUUACUGCAGCCAAUUCUUCAAAAGUUUAAAUACCUAUUUCUUUACUACACACAAGGGGCUAAACACAGAGGGGACAAACAAGGACAGACAAACGGAGUAAGUCGAUUACAUCGACCCCAGUGCGUAACUGGUACUUAAUUUUAUCGACCCCAAAAGGAUGAAAGGCAAAGUCGACCUCGACGGAAUUUGAGCUCAGAACGCAAUGGCAGACGAAAUACGGCUACGCAUUUCGCCAGGCGUGCUAAAGUUUCUGCCAGCAUGCCGAGGCAGCCUGGGUCAAAUGCUUCUUUUGGCUCUCUCCACACAUAUACUUGCCAGUGGUUGGAAAUAGGGUAAAGGAUGACUCGUUCGAGAAAAUAUCAUUCUUCUCAUAUGGUAGGGACCAAUUCUGAAGGUUUUUACUCCCCUCUAAACGUUUUGCAACUUUAUUUUUUUGAGAGUAGUGGUUUUCUGAUUGCAGCCUUCUCAUGAAAUCCAGCUUUGUGCAUUACCCAGCGAACAGUUUUUGUUACUUAGUUGGUGAUUACUUGUAACCUCUUCCAUAGAGAUGGUGCCUGCAAAGAACAAAAGAUGGUACCUGCAAAGAAGGCGGCGAGCUGGCAGAAACAGUAGCACGCCGGGCGAAAUGCUUAGCAGUAUUUCGUCUGCCGCUACGUUCUGAGUUCAAAUUCCGCCGAGGUUGACUUUGCCUUUCAUCCUUUCGGGGUCGAUUAAAUAAGUACCAGUUACGCACUGGGGUCAAUAUAAUUGACUUAGUCCAUUUGUCUGUCCUUGUUUGUCCUUUCUGUGUUUAGCCCCUUGUGGGUAGUAAAGAAAUAGGUAUUUCGUCUGCCGUUACAUUCUGAGUUCAAAUUCCGCCGAGGUCGGCUUUGCUUUUCAUCCUUUCGGGGUCGAUUAAAUAAGUACCAGUUAUGCACUGGGGUCGAUAUAAUCGACUUAAUCCAUUUGUCUGUCCUUGUUUGUCCUCUCUGUGUUUAGCCCCUUGUUGGUAGUAAAGAAAUAGGUACCUGCAAAGAACAAGACUUCCUCAUGUAAGUUCUGAUCUGCAUAUUGCAAGUCCUGUUCUUUGUAUAUACCAUUUCUAUGGCACACAGCUGUGAGUGAAGCUUUUGGGAGUUAUGGGACUUAAUUGUGAGGGAUGUGAAGGGGCAUACAUAAAAGGUUGGGUUCUGUCCCCAGUGGGAUGGGAAUGAAAUACCUUUGCUCUUCAGGAAUAACUGAUAUAAAUCUGGUGGAGUUCCAAUCUGUUAGCUGGCUUGAAGCAGCAGAAGGUUCAGGUGUGGGGUGUGUAGGAAUAUGUGAGAUGGAUUGUCUUGAUUAAGAACUAGUCACGCUAUCUAAUGCUUGUAGAGACUGUGAAACUGGAGCUGAGGGAUGAGUUUGAAGCCAAGAAAGAGAUUAAAAAUAAUUAUAGAAUUGAUGCGUUCCUAAGGAUUAAGAGAAGGGGAUGAUAUUAACUUAUGCAGACAUUUCAGAAUGGUAAAUUAUUGGGAUUCUUUGCCAGAGGCAUUGAUCUCAGAAGUAUGCAAUAGCCAAGUGGAGGCAAAUAUAUCGAAGCUAUUAUGACUGAUGAUAUCAGAGAGGGGAAGAAGGGAGGGGGAGAGGGGUGAAGUGAGAGGAUGAUGAGUAUAUGAAGUGAAAGGUGAGGUGAUAGGAUGACUUUAGUAAGAGGUGAAUUUGGAAAAUGAUAAUUUCAAUAAGAUAGCGAGAGAGAAGUGAGGUGAGAGGCUGAUGACUUCAGACUGAAACAGAGGGAAAGAGAGAGAGAGAGAGAGAGAGAGGAAGAGAGUGAGUAAAAGCAAAAGAGAGAGAAAGAGGUAGGGGUGAAGUAAUAAUGUUAAUGCUAUUUAAAUGAUGAAGCUCAAUUUUAAACUUAAUCAUCACCUCAACGAUCAAUUUAUACCUAUUUAAUCUGCAAAAAUGUAAACAAACACACUAAAAAAAUCAGAUGAUGAAGGCCACAAUGUAAUAUGAAUGUGAUUAAUAUCAGAUGGGAUUUACAGCCAGAUCUGAAGAACAAGGUAGUGAGACCACAAAAUAGCCAACAAACGGUCCAAUUCCUUCUAAGUGGAAUUGGUAGACAGAAACUGAAGAAACCUGUAAUAUGCGUGUAUAUGUAUAUCUGUGUGUUUGUGUGAGUGGUUUUUAUUUUCUCUUUGUUUUGUCUGUGUUUACUGACUGUAAGUAAAACAACAGCUUGGCUAAACCACAACUGUGAGUGAUGGUGAUGUUUGCUUACAGUAAUUAUUUUCCACUUUAGGCACAGGGCCUGAAAUUUAGGGGGAGGGGUACAGUCAAUUAGAUUGACCCCAGUGCGCAACUGGUACUUUAUUCAUCGACCUCGAAAGGAAGAAAGACAAAGUCGACCUCGGCGGAAUUUGAACUCCAAAUGUAAAGACAGACGAACUACCGCUAAGCAUUUUUCCCCGCAUGCUAAUGUUUCUGCCAGGUAAUAUAUGUGAUGUCAAAACAAGGAGGCACAAACACAAACACACACACACACAUACACAGACACACAUACAUACACACACACACACACACACACGCAUGCAUGUACAUGUGCACAUGCAGAUGCACAUAUACGAUAAGAUUUUACACAGUUUCUGUCUACCAAAUUCACUAACAAAGCUUUGGUUGUCCAAAGGCUCUAGCAGAAGACUCUUGCCAAAGAUUCCAUGCAGUAGCAGUGAACUCAAAACCUUGUGGUUGUGAACAUUCUAACCAUACACCUACCCAGGUGUCAUAGACAAAAUACCUUGUCUCAAAUCCUUACUCAUAUUGAUUAUGAUUUUCAUCUUUCUGAGGUUGAUAAAAUAAAUACUAGUCAACAUUAUGGUAUCAAUACAAUCAACUAUGUUUGGUUAAAGAUGGUGCCCCAGCAUGGCCACAGUCCAUUGACUGAAGCUAGCUAAAGAAUUAAUGAAAAUAUUUAUUUAUCAAAUGCUGCAGAGUUUAUAGAGUCCAUAGAUAUCUAUCUAUCUAUCUAUCUAUCUAUCUAUCUAUCUAUCUAUCUAUCUAUCUAUCUAUCUAUCUAUCUAUCUAUCUAUCUAUCUAUCUAUCUAUCUAUCUAUCUAUGCCCCCUCUCGGCGCUUCUAUACGUAUUGACUCUUGAGCCACUACUGCGGAAGCUGGCGACUCUAAGGGGCAUCUCGCGAGAAUUGGGAUGCGGGACGAGCGUGUCUGCAUACGCGGACGACGUCACCGUCAUAGUGUCUAGCCACGAGCACAUCGAGCUGGUCGGCGGGACACUGAAAAACUACGAAGCGGUGACAGGAGCGAAAAUCAACCGGGAAAAGUCAGUGGGCUUGCGACUAGGCACCUGGAGAAGCAAGCCCAUGCUGUCCACCAGCGCCUCCGUCGUGGGACGCUGGACCGACGGCCCGGUUGAGUUGCUCGGGGUCUGGUUUGGUCCGGACCUCCAAGUGGAGAAGAACUGGAACGAGAUAACGAGUAGGGUGGUCACUCUUGCCCGGCAAUGGGCCGAGAGGAAACUGUCCCUAAAAGGUCGAGCGGCGGUGGCGAACACGUACAUCGCGUCCGUCAUCUACUACCGCCUGACCGUCGUACCUUGUCCCGACCCUACCAUCACCAAACUACAACGCAUCCUCUUUCGCUUCUUGUGGAAAGGAUGCGUCCCGAUGGUCAGGCGAUCCAUUUGCUGUCAACACCCGUUAAAAGGAGGGCUGGGCAUGCCGUGGUUGAUGAUGCGCAGACACGCGCUGAGACUGCGACAUCUCUGGCUCUAUGUAGACGACGGUGAACAGGUGUGGUCGCCGUUUGUGAGGCACGCUUUCCCGCAGCUCGUCUCCAUGACCGAACUGCAGUCGUGGAUCAAAAAGAGGCCGAGGAAGGGCGAAUGGCACCGCGAGUGUCGCGUUGCUCUCAAGCAACUCUGCCGUCCUGGGUCGACCUUAAGUGACUUCAACACAACCAAAGCAUUCUAUAGGGGUUUAGUGGAGGGGAGGUACGACGACGAGCUCGGGGCGAACCUGGACGUCGACGAGGAGUACCUGACCCACCUGUUCAGGACGACUUUCGGGCCAGGGCCCAUGGACAACUUCCAGAGAUCCCUGGCCUGGCAGUGCUACCGAGAAGCGCUACCCAUUCGGGAUAAGCUCUACAGACACGGCUCGAGAAACACGGGGCCGACCUGCCCGAGAUGCGGUCAGAGCGACGAAACCGUUCUGCACGCACUCGUUCAGUGUCCAACAAUUUCCGACCUGUGGGCUUAUGUCGAACAACUGCUGUCACGUGUGGGACGAGUCGGUUUAUCAGCUGAGUCUAUCGUCAAUAUUGUCACGCCUCCUUCCUUCAAACGGGAAGGAAGAGCUAUUUUCAUCAUCCUUGUGGCUAUGGCGAAAGAAUGUAUCUGGUGGACGCGUCUGAAAGGAUUGGAGACAAACACUUUCCUCUCUGGUCAAUCUCUCAUCAACUUCUUCAAGUACCACUUGAAAAGGAAAGUGAGAGUAGAGAGGCAAGUUUUGUCUAGCGAAUGUUUUAAAAAAAGAUGGGUGAAUGUAGCAAGAAUGGCACGUAUGAAUGACGAAGCCACCUUGAGCAUAGUCCUAUGAACCCAGAAAUCGAAAACAGAGAGUUGCUUAUUUGCAAAAAAAAAAAAAAAAAAAAAAUGAAAUUUAAAAUGUGACUUCAUUGACCGAUGUUACCGUGGUCUUUUCCGUAGGCUUUUCUUUCCACGGAUAAACCUCACCUGUCCUCCCCUUUACACUUCAUAUUGACAUUUCUGUGAUAACGAUCCCUAUUGAUCAAUUUUUUUUUCUCCCCCCUUUUUUUUUAACCCCCCUUUUUUGUCCUCUUUCUCUCCUUUUACAAUCCCUUUUGAUCGAAACUCCCCCUUCCUUUUUUUUUUUUUUUUUCUAACCCUUCAAAAGAAAAGCUCUACCUUGUAAUUUGUUCUAUCUGUGUGCAGCCCUGUGUGGCUAAUAAAGAAACAUAUCUAUCUAUCUAUCUAUCUAUCUAUCUAUCUAUCUAUCUAUCUAUCUAUCUAUCUAUCUAUCUAUCUAUCUAUCUAUCUUGAGCAAAACACUUUAUUCCAUGUUGCUCCAGUGCACUCAGCUGUAGAAAUGAGUUUAGCCCAGAGAGGGAUGGGCUUCACCAGGCUUUCUUGCCCUAAAUACACUGCAUGGCUGCAGUGCCCCAAUAACCCCAAGGGGUUAAGGGACUUGUCAUUGUCAUUGUCUGGUGGGCUGCGAGGACUAUGAGUGCAAGUUUUUCAGCAGCCACUAACUAUACACAGUGAAGGUGUGUGGUUAGGGUAUUCAUAUAAUCGUGAGUUCAGUACUUGGCAGGGCACUGUGUCUUUGAGCAAGACACUAUUUCACGUUACUCCAGUCAACUCACCUGGCAAAAAUGACCUGUAAUUCAAAGGGUCAGCCUUGUCCCAUUCUGUUUCACACUGAAUCUCUUUGAGAACUACGUUAAACACAUGUGUCUGUGGAGCGCUCAGCCACUAGCUCAUUAACUUCAUCAGCAAGCUGUUCGGUUGAUCGGAUCAGCUGGAACAACUCAUUGUCAUAACUGACAGAAUGCCAGAACUGUUCUUAGUUCAUUACUAAGGGUGUUGUAACAUGCACAUACAAAACUCUUUGGUUUAUUACAUAGGUGGUUUAAAUUUUGGUUUCUGUCAUGCUGUUAAUAAAGCAUCCAUGGUUAACUGUAUCAUUUUCAGUGGAAUUCUAUACAGAAAAAUAGUGCUGUCAACUAAGGACUUUGCCCUUUUUUAUUUUCCCACUUUUUCUCUUUAGCUUUAUUUUGCUCUGUAUUGUAGAAUUCUGUACAGGCUUCUUGUUGUAAAUGCUUAUGUAUUUGUCUGUGCACACACGUGCGUGUGCAUGUAUGUGUGUGCAUGCGCAUUUCUAUUCUUGGAGGUGACAAUUUCAAGUUGUGAAGAACAUGAUGGCCAAGUGGCUUAGAAUAAUAUAUAUAUAAUGUAUGUAUAUGUAUGUAUAUAUAUUCAAAUGUUGUGUUAAAAGCAGCUCAAUAAUAUAUAUAUAUAUAUAUAAGGGGAGCUGACAGAAACGUUAGCACGCUGGGCAAAAUGAGUAGCUGUAUUUCGUCUGCCAUUACAUUCUGAGUUCAAAUUCCGCCGAGGUCGACUUUGCCUUUCAUCCUUUCGGGGUCGAUAAAUUAAGUACCAGUUAUGCACUGGGGUCGACGUAAUCCGUUGUCUGUCCUUGUUUGUCCCCUCUGUGUUUAGCCUCUUGUGGGUAGUAAAGAAAUAUAUAUAUAUAAAUAUGUAAAUGAAAGAAUAAAUAAAGUCAAAAGUAAGAUGGAGAACGAUUGGACAGCUUCUUAAUGGCCACCACACAUGCUUCAACACAACAUAGAUCCACAUAUAUACAGGAUUUAAAUUUAAAUUAAGUAACGGUUUACCUGUAUAAUGGAACCCAGUUGUAUCUCCUCAGGUGAUAUAAGAUUGUUGUCUCCGUCAGUAAAUGUUUGAUUUCGAUGCUGUCACAUCCAACUGGCUCCUUUGAGUCCAGCAAAUGCUGACAGUCUCAUUCCUCUUGCUGCCAGCAUGCCUCUGCACGCUCGACAUGAGUGGCAUGGGUAUGUUGUCUGUUUACUUUGUUUCCCAUGUUAGGCUGCACAUGCUAAAUUUGAUUAUUUCGCAAACACACUGACACAUACGCUCACACUUAUAUAAUCACUCACACACAGAUAUACUACUACAUCUCUGGGCAUCCCCAUACAUACACACACAUGCACACACACGGACUCAUACGCACACACACACAUGCAUAUAUAUAUAUAUAUGUGUAUGUGUGUGUGUGUGUGUGUGUGUGUGUGUGUGUGCAUACUAGCUGAAUAGCCUGUCAUUGUGGAGCAUACUAGCUGCAUAGCCUGUCAUUGUGGAGCAAUUUUUACAAUAAAACAUCUUGUAUAAAUUUUUGUUUAUUCCAUGCCUUCUCCGACAGAUAGGCCUCUUGAUCAGGAUAGAUUUGUGCAAUUUUUCACCAAAAAACUUCACUGCGAAUAUUUUUCUUUUUUAAAUUAUUUACAUGUCUGUUCGACCAUCACGAAUUCCUCCUCCUAAUGAUUUUACUUUCAUUUUGUGAUAGACGGCUAUCAUGCAGAGAAUGCCAGCUUCCAAAUCCUGCAUUCUGAUUAAGUAAAAAUGAUUAAACUUUAAACCUCAGUAACAUUUUCUAGCAAUUUUUCUGGAACAAAUAAAUAACAAAAUUAGAUUUUAUGUGGAAAAUACCAAAUUUGAAAAUGUUGACGUAAUUUUAAUCUCACAAUAUGUGACAGCAACAGGGAAGACCCUACAAAAGUAGAGAGGCAGACAGUUAUAGGACAUGACACAGACACACACAGGUAAUCACAAGUUUAAAAUGGUGUAUAGGAGAGAUAUGUAUGUAUGUAUGUAUGUAUGUAUGUAUGUAUGUAUGCAUAUGUAUGUAGACAUAUGUGUGUGUUUGUGUGUGUGUGUGUCUGUGUGCAAGUGUUUCCUUGUGAUGGAAACAGAAAAUCCACCUACCCCCUCUCUCCUUAAAGCUAUCUAUUCCUCACACCUACCUUUUUCCCUUUCCUGGGCAUUUUAAAAGAUACUUAUGUGCAUGUGUGUGUGUGUGUGUGUGUGUGUGUGCAUAUGCAUGCAUUGAUGUAUUUAUGAAAGAAUGUAUACACCUUUGCGUGUAUAUGACAGCUGUAUUAACGUUAUCAUCCCAUUGCCACUCCAUAUUUGUCACUUAGGCAACACUGUUCUCCCCGCACCUGAUAUCAGUAACUCUCACUCUGUCACUAUAUUUCCUUUACACUACUACUCUUUGCACCCUUCUCAUUAUAUCAUAUAAUUUAUCCAACUCCGCUAGGGGGAACAAUAUAGACUUUUAUUGAAAUUCAAUUGGUUAUUAUUGAACUGAAUGUUAGUUUAAUAUGUAUGCAAAAUUUGGUGGAGAUUGGUUUACUGAUUUAGGCAGUAAGAUGGUAACAGACAGAUAGAUGGACAGAAAAACAGAAAUUGCCUUUUAUACAUAAGAUAUAUACCACCAUAUCGCAGUUCAUCUAUUGCACACUCAGUACAUCACAGAAUUUUCUGGUUAAUACAUGUAAAUUUAUAUCGUGGACUCCUCAGUAUAUUGCAGGUUUCUGUGGCCAAUAAGUAUUUAUAUUUUUUUAGAUUUUAAUUAUUACUGUGGGAAGUUUUGGAAUGUAACACCCAUGAUAGUCGAGGGAUUACUGUAUAUACAUGCAUACAUAUAUAUGUAUGUAUGUCAUGAUAUAUAUAUAUAUAUAUAUAUAUAGGGAGAGUUUAUGAAAAAAACAAAAGACGAAGACAGGUGGUGUACAAGACAAACAGAUGUAUUAGUAUAACGCUCAGGAAUAGAAAAAGUCUUUUAUGUUUCGAGCCUACGCUCUUCUACAGAAAGGGACACAGAAAAAACAAGGAGAGAAAAAAAAUGUGUGUAGUGGCUAACGAUCUAUCAUGGCGACUGAUAUAUACAUAUAUAUAUAUAUAUAUAUAUAUACAUUCACGCACUCACUGCAGCAGUCCUGUUUUUCUAAGCCCUGUAAAAGAACUCAGGAGGUUGAACCCCAAGCCUGGUCUUUUGUGAUACCCUUGAAGCCAGGAACUUUUCAGCAGCCCCUCAUAUAUUGAAUUGCAUAGGAUGGCCACUAGUGGUCAUUUACAGUCUUUGUUAGCACACUGACCUAAUUAACAGUGGGAAUGGUUAUUGCAGAACGAUGUGCCAUGAGAUUUCCUGAGUCAGAAUGAGUGAAACUUAAACCAUUUGUCAUUUCCCCUCAAUCAACUGAUUUACUGAGUCGAGCAAAUUGAUGACUGAAUGAAGUCUUGGUUUGGAUAUGUAAUCCUGUUUACUUUAGAUAUUAAAACAUGUACACGUGCAUACACAAAUACCUGUCUGUCUGUAUGUCUGUCUGUCUGUCUGUAUCUCUCUCUCUCUCUCUAUCUAUCUAUGUGUGUGUGUGUGUGUAUGUGCAUAUAUAGAUGUGUGUAUGUACAUGCCUGCACACACAUAUGCAUACUUACACACACACACAUAUAUAUAUAGAUGUGUAUAUAUAUAUACAUGCAUGUAUAUGUAUGUGUAUAUAUAUGUGUAUAUAUAUAUAUAUAUAUAUAUAUAUAUAUAUAUAUAUUUAAUUUAUUUUAUAGAAGGAGCUUCUACAGGACUAGAACUGUUUCAUUCAAAAGAAAUCAUCAAGUAUAUAUACACACACACAUCUAUAUAUGUAUGUGUGUGUAUAUAUAUAUAUACAGAGAGAGAGAGAAAUAAGAUAGAUAGAUAGAUUAAAAUACGCACACAUUCACACAUGUAUUUAUCUACUUGUGUAUAUGAACAUCAUACAAAUAUAUGUAUGUGUUAUGCUCAUGCAUGUAUGUAUAUAUGCGCACACGUGUGUGUGUGUGUGUGGAACCAUACGUGUGUAUGUGUCCACACCACACACAAACAGCAAUUUGUGCUUCUGCUUGAGAUGUUCCAUUUUUCUUAAUACUGUUUGUCUGAGUUCACGGCAGAUAAUUUAUUGAUGAAUCCUCAAUAGUUCUGCAGAGAACCUCUGAAAGAAAGAAACAACGAGAAGAAGGAAGAGGAGGAAGGAAGAAAGAGAAAGAGAAAGAUAGAGAUAGAAAUAGAGGAAGAAGGAGAGAGUGAGAGAGAGAGAGAGAGGGAGAGAGAGUGAAAGAUACAGAAAUUGGUGGGAGGGGACAAAUAAACCUAUUAACCUAAUUUGGCAGAUCUCUGUAGAAUGGUUCAAAUUUGUAGACCUGUCUUUAGUUGCUGUGUGGUGUGUAUCUAGAAGUCUAGGAUAAAGUAAGCUUAACCAGAAACAGCCACCACCACUGCCUCUACCAUCAUUACAACCAUCACUGCAAGCUCAGCUUCUGCCUCAGACGUAGAGACAGUAAUGCCACACAGAGCCAGGAUGAGGCGGAGGAGGAGAAGGAGGAGGAGGAGGAAGUAAAGAAGGACAAACAGACAGAUCUGGAUAAAAGUAUUAACUGCUUAAUGUAAUAAAUAACUGGAGAGGAAAAUAUGGUUUUAUACUGUAAGUUGUAGUGAUGGUGAUGGUGAUGAUGUGGUGAAUGUGGUGAUGUGUAUGUAUAUGUGUGUGCAUGUGUGUGUGCAUCUGUGCAUCUGUGUGUGUGUGUACAUAUGGUGUAUGUGUAUGCGUGGACAUUUCUUUCUAUUUGUUGAGUUUAGAGGAAGCGGCAUUGCCGUGACUUUUGCAAACCCUUCAGACAUUGGUGAGCUUGAUGCCAAUAAUAUUUCGUUUAAACUGUUGCAGAUUAACAAGUGCAGGAAAGACAUGAAUAGGAAGGAAAUUCCAUGGGACCAUUAUUCUGGGAGAAAUGAUUAGUCAUAGUAGAUUUUAAGGGACUGAAGGGAUUAGAUGCACCCAAGGGUGACAAUAUGUGUAAAAAAUGAAGUGUCAGGGGUGCAUGAGUAUAGGCAGGGUAUAAGACAAGCCCGCUCUGCCAUUAUAGGAGUGAUAGAAAUAACAGAAAGAGAGGAAGCAGCUUGCUUGUAGGUGAGUGACUGGAGAAUGUCUUUAAUUAUUGAAUUCAAAUGAGUGGCCCUUCUUUAAAUGAGGUCCAGGCUCUCUGUAUGGGAGCAGAACUCCAAUGUGAAUACCCCACAAGGGGCUAAACAUAGAUAGGGCAAACAAGGAUAGACAGACGGAUUAAGUUGAUUAUAUCAACCCCAGUGUGUAACUGGUACUUAUUUAAUCGACCCCGAAAGGAUGAAGGGCAAAGUCGACCUCAGUGAAAUUUGAACUCAGAACGUAGUGGCAGACGAAAUACCGCUAAGCAUUUUGUCUAGCGUGCUAAUGUUUCCGCCAGCUCGCCGCCUUUCCAAUGUGAAUACCACUCUGUAUCAGUAUCUGUUGGGUGUGAAAUAUUUUCUUAUUUUGAAGAGAAUGACCAGUCAUUGGGAUGUGUCUUAGUUAUGCUAAGGAUAUGCUUUCACUAGAUGGGAUCAUCAUUGCUAAAGAACCUCAGCAUUUGGAGCAACUGUGAGUGAGGGCUCGAGGUGAAUGCUGCUCAAGUUUAGUAGGGCUACAGUGGUGUUUGCUUGAUGUGAGUAGUGCUUGUUUUUUUUGCUUUUAAAAGAGAUAAUAACUUCUGAGAGAGGGAGAGAGAGAGAGAGAGAGAGAGAGAGAAGAGGUGAUGAGAUAUAUGCUUUCAAUACAAGAAGAGAUAUGGUCAAAGAGUUGCUGAUGAUUUGAGUGCAAUUGAGUGUGGAGUGUAAUAGAGGAGAGAAGACAUAGUUGUGAGAAUGUAGGAAGAUCUUGAGCUUGAGUUUCUGGAACGUGUUAUUGUUGAGAUCUUGGUAAAAGAGAUUAGAGACAAGGAGAGUGAGGUUUAUGUAUGCUUAGACACCAUCUUUUAGAGUGAGAUUUGAGUAGAGGGUGGAUUCUAGACAAAGGGGAUGGGUUGAAGAAGGUGUGGAGAAAUUUGUGUCUCAGAGAAAAAUGGAAUUUGUGGUAAGUGUGUGAAUAAGAAAUGAUGUGUGGUAUCUACAUUGGAGAGACAUGCUUCAAUGUUUGAUAAGAGGUAUCUGUGUGUGUGUGUGUGAGUAUACACACACACACACACACACACACACACACACUCACACACACACUCACACACACACACACACACACAUAUGUGUAUAGCUAUAUAUUUUGGUUAUAUAGGAUUUACAAAGAAUUGAGGCGCAUCAACAUGUCGCGUGCUGCCAAUUCGCCAGAUAGAAUCAUGCCGAGAGGACAGUGAAGUAAUCCAUUAUCAGCAUAGAAAGCAAUGGUUUAUGAAACCCAGACUCUGUUGUUUGGUAAUUUGCAAUUCCAUUUGUUUACCAGUAAAAGCAGAAACCUUGAUGUGGUGCGAAAUAUUAGUAAACGAACAAAUGAAUGGAUUUUAAAUUUUGUGACAAUUGUUUUGGUGAUAAUCAUUAUUUAAUGUAAAUAUAAUACAAUAUUUUGGAUUAUGUCAUGCAUUAUGCAAUUCUCAUGCUCAUCAGGCAAUAUUCAAAAUAUCUUAAGACAUAAUCCAAAAAUACAUACAUACAUUCAUACAUACAUACAUACACACAUACAUACAAACAUAAAUACAUACAUACAUACAUACAUACAUACAAACAUACAUACAUACAUACAAACAUACAUACAUACAUAUUUACAUACAUACAUGCAUACAUACAUGCAUACAUACACACAUACAUACAUACAUACAUACAUACAUUCAUGCAUACAUACAUACAUACAUACAUUCAUGCAUACAUACAUACAUACAUACAUACAUUCAUGCAUACAUACAUACAUACAUACAUACAUACAUGCAUGCAUACAUAUAUACUUACAUACAUACAUACAUACAUGCAUACAUACAUACAUACAUACAUGCAUACAUACAUACAUACAUACAUACAUAUGUACAUACAUACAUACAUACAUAUGUACGUAUAUACAUACAUACAUACAUACAUACAUACAUACAUACAUACAUACAUACGUACAUACAUACAUACGUACGUACGUACAUACAUACAUACAUACAUACAUGCAUAUACCCAGGCCUAUUUCCCAUUUUUUUUAGAAGCGGGUAGCCACAACAAGACACACACCAGGCAUUCCAUUUAUUUCCCAGCUCAAAGAGGUGAGCGCCAUCCUAUACUCAGAUCAAGACAUAGAACACAACCCCCAAUAUCAGCAGCAGGGCCUGUCAAUAUAUGCUGGUUUACCCCUGCCGCAUCAUGCUGGUUCCGCACCUCUUUGAGCAACAUCAAAAUUCACUCAUCUGCCCACAAAUACUCUCCAAGCUUUCCUUUCAUUUAUAAACUGUCUUGCUUCUCUCACUCCAUCACCUCUAACCACCAAAGCUUUCUUCAUUCCAUCCAUCCACACAAACCAAGGUCUACCUCUGCUUCUGCUGCCUACCACUUCAGCCUUCAUCACCCUCCUUACCAUCUGCUUCUCAUCCAUCCUCUCCAUGUGGCCAAACCACCUCACCAUUCGUCUAUCCAUUUUGAUUGUCAGUUUUUCUCUCAUUCCUGCUUGCCUUUGCACCUCCUCACUCCUCCUCCUGUCCAUCUGUGUCACACCAGUCAUAUCCUUCAGACAUCUCACCUCAAACGCAUCUAGUAGCCUCCUCUCUACCUCUACAUCUCUGCACCAGGUAACAUCGUCAGCACAAUCACGCCCUCAUACACACCUUUUCGCUUUCAUACUAAACCUUUUAUCUCUCAGUAUACUUUUCACAACUCCAAGUAUCUUACUCCCCUCCCUCACUCUGUAUCCCAAUUCCUCAGCCAAUCCCCCCAUCCGCUGUCACAUGUGACCCCAGAUGCUUUAAAAACACUCACCUCCUCUAACAUUUCACCAUUUAUACUCACAUCCAUCCUACCAGCCAUUCUAUCUCUCGAACAUCUCACCUUACUCUUAGCUACAUUCACUUUCAGUUUCUUCCUCCCACACACUCUUCCAAACUCUACCUCCAGUCUCUUCAGUUGCUCGUCUGAAUCCGCCACAAGUGCUGUAUCAUCAGCAAACAACUACUGACUCACCUGCCAUUUCUCUCCAUUUGGUCUCCCUUACCAAAGGUUCUAGCAUUCACCUUUCUCACCACACCAUCCACAUAUAAAUUCAACAGCCCGAGACACCACACGACCCUGUCUUAACCCCACCUUCACAUCAAACCACUUCACCAUCCACCCUAACACACACCCUACAUUAUUUAAUACAGUAAAUAAGGAUUCUCAGUGAAACAGUUUUUGCAAAAUUUAAAAUCCAUUUUUAUGCUCAUUUAUUAAUGAAUGUGUGUGUGUGUGCAUGUGCACGUGUGUGCAUGUGCAUGCAUGCGUGUGUGUGUGUGUAUUUGUGUAUGUGUGUGUGCCUGUGUAUUUGAAUAUAUGUUUGUGUGUAAAGUGAGUAUUGGCGAGAUUUGUGAAAUAGUUUGUCACCUGGGAAUAUGAUACUAAGAGUGGUGUAUGUGUACUUGAAACAGCAACAGUAGUAGUUGUAGUAGCAGCAGUAAUAGCAGUAGUAUUUUUUGUUAUGUUGGUAAUGAAAGUGUGGUUGCAAAAGUAGUAGUGAUGGCUGUAAUUGGUUGUAUAGCAACACUUAGUGAUACACUCCAGCCUCAGGCCCGCAGACAUAUUAUGUUAAUGCAGUCUACUCAGCUGUAAUGAGUACCAGCAGAGUACUCUCCCCCCCCCCCCCAGCAGCCAUAUCUGGAAUGUUCGGCUGAGUCAGAGGUAGAAGGGGCAAGUGCACGUCUGCAUCGGCUCCUGACUAUAUGGGCACCUGAAACAUAAGCAAAAGCCUGGCCCACUCUACCAAAUCAUAGACACAAGCAGGUAAUAGUUACAGAAGUUAGUUAAUGUCUCUUAACUGAGCAAAUCCUUAUAUUUACUUCUAAUGCAUUCUUCAUCUUUACAGGUCCCUUAUUUGCCCUCAUAUGGAACAUUGUCACACUUGGGAUGCCACCCUGGUGUUCUACCUCUGCUUGAUUGAGUUUGAAAGAGAUUUUCUAAUUUUGUUGGUCCUGUUUUGUCUGCUAAACUUCAACCUUUCUCUCAUUCUGUUAAGGGGCCUUGUCUUGUGAGUUACUUGGCGACCUCACUUGUGCUGGUGUCAUGACACAAAAUCGACCUGGUACACUCUGUUAAGUGGUUAGCGCUAGGAAAAGGGCAGCCAGGUAUAGAAUACCUUGACAAAAGUAAGACAUAGUCUGAUCCUGUUGAACCAUCCAAGUCAUGCCAGCAUGGAAUGUGAAUGUUAAAUGAUGAUGAUGAUGAGGAGGAGGAGGAGGAUAAUGAUGAUGAUGAUGAUGAUGAUGAUGAUGAGGAGGAGGAGGAGGAGGAGGAAGAGGAGUGGACUUCCAUGGUCAGUGUUUGGCCAAAUUUUCUUUCCUCUCAAGGUUACUUCCCAAAUGACUAAUCUUUCAACUAAUUCCCAUCUUUUGUUUCUAUGAAGUGUCUUUGUUCUGGUAAUUUUCUUCCCCGAACAUGUAUAUUAUUGAAAUCCCUUCCUUUUUUCUUGUUUUGCCAGAUAAAUAUAAUUAUAACUCUUUUAAAUUUUGUGUUAAUCCUUUUAUGGUUUUCAGAGCAGCUUCUUAUUAGUGAGGUAAUAUUUAUCCGCAAUUAAACAAGGAUGUUCUGUUAGAACAAACCAUACUGUGGUAGAUGCCACGAGAGAAACUCUCAUAUUGGCUUUUGGUACAAAAUGCACUCUUGUUUAUGUCACUGGUGAGAGGAUAUCAUUAAUAAGACCAAGGAAGGUCAAAACCACAUGAUUUGGUGCUCUUGGCGCUGAAGGUGGUGGGGUUUUAUGUCCCAGUUAAUGAUAUAAACAAGUGUGCAUUUUGCAUCAGAAGCCAAUAUGAGGGUUUCUCUCAUGGUAUCCACCACAGUAUAGCUUGUUCUAGCAGAACAUCAAUGUUUGAGUGAGGAUAAAUAUUACCUCACAAUAUUAAUACUGUCUCUGUACUAAUGAAUGCUUUAUUACAAGCUAACUGGCUAAUUGCAACACCAGCACCUGUUCUGGUACUGAUUUUCUAUAUAUCACUUGCAGAGAUAUUUCUAGCAGUUGAGCAUCCAUCUUUGAUAAGACCGAGAAAGGUCAAAAUCACGUGAUCUGGUGGUCUCAGUGCUGGAGUGGGGGGGGGGGGUUAUCUCUCCGCUAAUGGCAUAAAGAAGAGUGCAUUUUGCACCAGAAUCCAAUAUGAGAGAUUUUUUUUAUGGUAACUACUGCUAAUAAAUACUUCUUAUUAUACCUCUUUUAACCUUUUUUUCUUUUUUGUAACAUCAAUAAACUAAGAGGUUGCUUGUGACCUGAUUUAUUGUUGGUCAGUUACCCCCCCCCCCAAGGCAUGUGAUUUCCAAUAAGAAAAAUAAAAUGGUUGAACAUAUGCAUAUAUGUACAUAUGCAUGUGUGUAAGCAUGCACGCCAUUGCAUGUGCAAAUCUGUAUGCUUUGACUUAGGUAUACACACACACACACACACACAUACACACACGCACUACACACACACACACACACGUGCACACACAUACACACACACACACACACACACACACACACACAUCUUGGCAUGUCUGUACAUGUGUAUGCAUACAUAUUAUCACAUAUUAUAAGCUAAAACUUCUGGAAUGCUUUACAGAUUUUUCUCAAUAUCGUUAAUGGUUUGUAACUAUAAUUUCCUAAUGACCGAUGUCCAUUCUAGUUUUGUGUUGUUCAGCUUCUCAAGACAGGUGCUGAGGCAAUUAGUUGCACAUACAACAGUCUCAGUAAUUAUAGUUGCAGAUAUAUAAUCUUUUCUACUCUAGACACCAGGCUCAAAAUUUUGGGGGAGGUAAGGGCCAGUCAAUUAGACACAACUGGUACUUAAUUUAUCGACCCUGGAAGGAUGAAAGGCAAAGUCAACCUCAGCAGAAUUUGUAAUCAGAGCAUAAAGACAGACAAAAUAUCGCUAAGCAUUUCAUCCGGUGCGCAAACUUUUCUGCUAGCUCACCAUCUUAUAGUUGGAGAUAUAAUGCUAUUUGCAGAUUCUUUAUUAGUUUGGUAUAAGUGUUUUCUUUUUCACUAAUCAUCAUCAUCAUCAUCAUCAUCAUCAUCAUCAUCAUCCUCAUCAUCACCAUCAUCAUCAUUUAAUGUCCACUUUCUUUGCUAGCAUGGGUUGAACGAUUUGACUGAGGACUGGCGAACCAGAUGGAUGUACCAGGCAUCAAUCUUGAUCUGGCAGAGUUUCUACAGCUGGAUGCCCUUCCUAACGCCAACCACUCCGAGGGUGUAGUGGGUGCUUUUAAAGUGCCACCAGCACGAGGACCAGUCUGGUGGUACUGGCAAUGGCCACGCUCAAAUGCUGUUUUUUACAUGCCACCUGCAGAGGAGCCAGUCCAGCGGCACUGGCAACGACCUCACUUGAAUGUUUUUUCACAUGCAACUGGUACAAGUGCCAGUUAAACAACACUGGUAAUGAUCACGUUUGAAUGGUGCUUUUUACUUGCCACCAGCAUGGAAACCAGUUAGCUGCUCUGGUAAUGAUCAUGCUCGGAUGGUGCUCUUAGUGCUCCACUAGCACGGAUGCCAGUCAUCUGGCAUUCGAUCCAAUAUUAUAUUGCAGUCAGCUGGGCAACUGACUCCUGCUGUUGAGCAUCCUUUAUUUACUCAGUCUCUGAUCAUUAUGUCUGGUCUGUUAUGCUUGCAUUUUAUUGAAGUCAUUAAAGGAAUAAUUCGCUAGUAUUCUUUCCUGUUAUGAAUAAUUACACCCUUCAAAUCACUGUUGCUAUUUAUAUCUUUAUCCUUAGGAUUAUCCUUUCUACAGAUUGCUUUACACAUUCUUUUGGUCACGACAUCUUAGCAUUUGAAGGGAUAAUAUCACGAUGAUACUUUUGGACAGCUAUUUAAGGUGUGGGUGAAAUGCUCUGUGUUAACACUUUGUAUUAGUGUAUGAAUGUAUGUGUUUGAGUGGUGUGUGUACCCAUGUAUGUAUGUGUGUGUUUAUGCAUGUUACAUGUUUGUAAAUAUGUGAGUGUGUGUGUGUGUGUGUGCAAAAUUUAUGUGUACACAUUUAGAAUUAAGUAUGUAUAAAUGGAUGGAUGGAUGUAUUUAUGGGACUCUUUUCUUUUCAUUUCUUCGAAUUUUUCUGAUAAUGAAGAGGCUGAUUUCUAACAAAGAUACAAAGCUCCAUUCCUGGAAUUUAUAUAAAAAUUGAAUAAAAGAGUAUAACAACAUUUUGGAUUUCACGAAUUGCAGAUUUUUACUGUGACACUGACGUAUAGAAUUUGCAAAAAAUAUGCUCUAUGGUAUUUUUCUUUGCUUGAAACCCCCAAGUUUUCCAGACUACAUGACAGACAUUUAGUAACAUAAUCAGGUGCAUCAAUAGGGAGGUCUUUGUUAAUGUAGGGGUGAUCAUUCAUCUCCCUAUGUAUGCAUGUGGAGGCUUGGACCAAAUUAUUUGAACAAGAUGGUCAACUGCCCAUGCAUGGAAAUCUCUCCUUCCCUCUCAACUGAAGUUAUCCAAGGUGAAGUCUGCUGAUUUCUGCAAAAACAACUUGUUUCAGGUGGUACUACUGUCAAAAUGGCAUUCUGUCUCGAUGUAGGAAAGAUACAUCAGGACAUCUUACUUGACUUCCUCACAGUUCUGCCAAUCCCUCUCCUUUCAUUGGUGCAUUUUUAUUGACCCUGCAAAUGAUAAAAGGCUAAGUUGACCAUGGUCAGAUUUGAACUCAGUGUGCAAAAGUCAAAAAUAGAAGUACUACAUGGAAUUUUAAUCCAACACUUUAAUGACUGUGCCAAUCUAAUUUGCUGCCAGAUGCACUAAUGAUUAUAGCUACUGAUGCAAAUUUAUAAUCUUUAUUGAAAAAUUGAAGCUUUUGAUGCAGUUGAUCGUAAAUGUUCUCUUUCUUCCUAAUUUUAAAUCAAAUGUGGUCAUCAACGAUCUUAUUGAUGACCACACUGAUGCAUGAUUUUUGUUUUAUGUCCCCCAAAAUUAAUCUUAUUCAUCAUAGUUUAUUUUCUGAGACGUCUUAUGGUGGGAUACCCUACAAAACUCAGGCAAAGUGCUGUCUCCUACAAAACUCGUGGGCAAGGUGUUCCUAUUCUUAACUGGGAUAUUUACAGGGUCAUGUGGAAGAAAGGAGCAUCACUGAGAUGGAGAAAGACAAAAUAUUUAUUGCAGGUGCAUACACACACAAAACACACACCCACCUUUUGACACCUUCUCAUACCUCUGUCCAAUCACCCUCUGUCCAUUCACUCCCUCUUCUGUUCUCUGUACCAUUCUAUCUGUAUAAAGUCAUCAUUGAACCUUAUCUCUCUGAUACAUAACUAUGAGGUACGUCACUGGAACUACUUAUAUCUUAUAUAUCUGACCACCUCCAUUUCUACACUUAUAGUCAAAAUUUCCCCCUCUUCAUUUCGCCUAUUCUCAUCUCAAUGACUCUGUUUCUAGAUUCACACUAUCCCCUUUUUCUCACAGAUCCUAACUUCUCCCAUUUCAUUUUACCUGUAAGUCAUCCUCUUGCUAUUCCACAUUGAAUGGAUGGAUACAAUAUAAUUUACCAAAAUCGCUUUGGUGGUUUGAAGAAGAAGGGAACCUCACUAGAGUUGGCACCAGAAUAAAAUGCACUCAGUACACUCUGUAAAGUGUUUAGUGAUUGUGUGGAAAUAGUAUAGAAUUGAGAGGUGUCUUUAGACUUGAAGAAGACAUGAUCACUUCUCUGGUGCUGGUAUCAUAAUGAAAUGCAUCUCAUACACUUUGUAAAGAGGCUGGUGAUAAGAAAACAUCUCGGUGGAGAAACUAAGCCUAAAAAAAUGUAUGGGCGUGACAUUGUCCUCAGCCCCAUCUAGGGUUUGACUUACACUAUGACUAUCUGACAAACCCAUGCCAGCAAGGAAAGCAGACACAAAAGGAUAAUACUAGAGCUGCUGCUGUUACUCUUGUUGCUGUUAUUGUUGUUGUUGUUGUUAAACAACAAGACGAGUAAGGGUAAUUAGGUGAUGGUCUAGGGCUUAGGGGUGGGAGACCCCAGACCUUGGAAAAAAAAAACUUUGGUCAUCUUGUUGUAGUCGAGGGCUCUUUGUUGAUGCCUGACACUAGGAGGUGGCCCUCGAAGUCGCUGGAAAUGGAGAUCUCCAGGUCCAAAUUCUUGAACGGCUGCCACUGCUAAUGCUGUGUGUGUGUGUUUCCUGUGCAAAAUUUCCAGCUAUAGGCUAGUAGCUAACUUUAGGACUAAUAAUUAUGGUUGUGUAUGUGCACGUGUGCAUGUACAGAUAUACGUAUACACCUUCUAUAUCUAUAUUUACAGCUAAACUCUUAAACUGAUUAUAUUUGAUUUGAUAGUUAGUUCUGUGUGUGUUUGUGUGUGUGUGUGUAUGUGUGUGUGUGUGUAUGUGUGUAUGUGUGUGUGUGCAAAAGGUAUUAUUCUGUGUGAGAGAAUGAACAUUUGUGUUUAUGUGGGAAUGUGGGAAUGUGUGGUAAGUACAUAUGUGUGAGCAGUUACAUGUUUGUAUGCAUGGCUUCUAAACAUUUGUGUGUGUGUGUGUAAGCAUGUGGUCAGUAAACAAGUGUAUGCCCAAGAGACAGAAUGUGAGUGUGUGUGCGUGUGUUUGUUUAUGAAUGUGUGAGUGUGCAUGUGUAUGAAUAUGUAUUCAGUCUUUUUCUCAUUUUUUUCUUUCUCUCUUCCACUUUUAUUUUUCUCUCUCAGAAUAGAGACAAAUUUACACUCAACUUCACAGAAGUUCAACGAUUUACUUAAGUCAGCUGUCACAGACAUUUCAUCUCACAGAGAUAGUAAAACAGUUCAGUAGGUUCGUUUCAUAUUAUGAGCCUGAUAUAGCACCAGGGGGGGGGGGUAGAGUUAUAGUUGAAGGACAAAGAAGAGGAGUAUGAGACAGCAAAGGAAGACGGAUGGGUAGCAGAAGAAGUGGUGCAAUCACAACAUUAAUAUUCUUUUUUAUAAAGUAUUUAUUGUCUUUUUUUUUUGAUAUCCUUCCAUCUGAGACACCUGGUUCUAAGAUACAAAAUCUCUCAUUUUAAAGUGUUAAUAUUCAAAUAUAAAUAUUCUGUAAUUUUAUGUUCAAGUCUUCAGCUGAAAGUUUAAUGAGUUAUGAUGCAUGAAUAUGAACACCGAAGACAAGUAAAAGUAUAGUAAAUAUUAUAUAAGGUGAUUGCAUGGUACAUUGAGAAUUAUCUUGCCUUUGUGGGAAGAGUAAAUGAUGGGCUGGUGGCAACUGUAACCAACCCCGAACCAGAAGGGGAGACCAUCAUCAUCAUCAUCAUUGAUUUAACAUCCAUUUUCCAUGUUGGCAUGGGUUGGCUGGCUUGAGAGGAACUGGCAACACCAGGAGCUGCACCAGGUUCCAUGGCCUAUUUUGAUUUGAUUUCUAUGGCUGGAUGCCCUCCCUACACCAACCACUUCACAGAGUGUACUAGAUGGUUUCCACAUGGCACCAGCAUCCACCCACACCAAUGCUUUUUACAUGGCACUUUGGUUUUCAGGAUCUCAAUUCUAAUGUUGUGGGCAAGUUUUCUUGAGUACAACAAUGCACCACAUAUCUUGGUCCUCUGUCAUCUCCUUUGCAAGGCUCAAUGUUGUGAGAUGGGCCUUCAAUACUUUGUCCCUUUGGUCACCCACUUCCACAACUUCCUCCACUUUAAGUGACUGGUGCUCCUUUAUGCAUCUGUCCUCAUCCAUCCACAUCAUAGGACCAAAUCAGCACAGACUCCUCCUCUCUUGCACACUGCAUACAAUUCAUCUCAAGAAUGAAACUAACAUGCCGUUAAAGAAGAGACAGGCUGAUUUCCUAGAAAGAAGAGGACAGCUGUAUAUAUAUGCUUCUGCCUCCUCAAUAGGCACCUUCAGUACAAGAGUUGUCCUAACUUGACUCCAGCAGAUAACAGAAAACAUCCAUGGCUUGUGUAAUAUUUUUGCUGCAGAAGUAAAUAUUGAAUUUACUCACAUAGGGUCAGACAUGGCUUUGCGGUUAAGAAGCAUACUUUGCAAUCAUGAGGUUUUUGAGUUCAGUCCUACUGCAUGGCACUUUGGGCAAGUUUAUUCUAUUAUAGUUCAAGGGUGGCCAAUGCCUUGUAAAUGAAUUUGGUAGAUGGAAACUGUAUGAAAGCCCAUAUUAUAUAUAUAUAUAUAUAUAUCCCUCUCUCUCUCUUUCGGAGAGGCACUGAGCAGCUAUACGCACACAUACACACACAGCAGUAACUUCCACCUACCGAAUCCAAUCACAAAGCUCCGGUCGGCUCAGGGCUAUAGUGGAAGACACCUACCCAAAGUGCCACGCAGUGGGACUGAACCCGAAACCAUGUAGCUAGGAAGCAAGCUCCCUAACCAUAUAUAUAUAUAUAUAUAUAUAUAUAUAUAUAUAUGAAGAGGAACCCAAAAGUAACUGGAAAUGUUCUCUGUAGAACAAACCUGUUGUGGUUCAGGCUUCUGCCGCUAGAAGCCACUUGAUGUGACCUUCAGGCAUCAGUCUGCCGACUGGUGGCAUCAAAUGGUGUCAUACUGUCAUGUGAUACAUCUUUGUUUUGCAAUGCUUCUCCCCAGUUUGUUGAAUUUUGUGGCAGAUGAAAUGAAGGAACAGCAUGUUUCCAUGAAAUUCUUUUUCACUGCUGGGGAAAAUGGCAGAUGAAACAGUUGUCCUGCAUGCAACAGCUUACAAGGAUACUGCCACGAGCAAACACAAAUUUACAAGUGGUUUCCACACUUUUGGAAUGGUCACUUGUCACUUGAAGACCAACUUUGUUCAGAAUGAUUUUCAACCUUCUGAAUGAAUGAAAACAUAAUGAAAAUUCACAAACUGGUCUUGGAGGAACCAUCACUGAACAAUUGCCAAACUUGAUUUGUCCGGUGUGUCCUGGAGCUUCUAUGAACGAAUUUUGAGUGAGGAACUACAAAUGAAAAGAGUUGCAGCAAAAUUUGUGCCUUACUUGCUCACGGAAAAUCAAAAGCAGUCACGCCUGAAUGUGUGUCAUGAACUGAAAGACUAUCUGGCCCAGACUUUUUCUUCAAGGUUAUCUCUGGUGAUGAAAGCUGGUGCUAUGAAAUUUGCAGAUGUGGAAGAGGAGAAGGAAAAAAUGACAGUGGCACUAAAAGGCAUCUCUUUGCAAGAGUUUCAGCAGUGCUUAGAAUAGUGGAAAAUGCACCUGGACUAAUGCAUUGCUUCAAAGAUGAUAAAGGUGCAAACAGGUAAAACUAAGGGAAUAAAAUAAUAUUGCAGAAUUCCGGUUUCUUUUGGGUACCCACUUGUGUGUGUGUAUAUAUAUAUAUAUAUGUAUGUAUGUAUGUAUGUAUAUAUGUUUAUAUAUAUGUAUGUAUGUAUAUAUACAAUAUAUAUAUAUAUAUAUAUAUAUAUAUAUAUAUGUAUAUAUAUAUACAUACAUAUAUAUAAAGAUAUAUAUAUACAUACAUACAUACAUACAUACAUAUGUAUAUAUAUAUAUAUAUAUAUAUAUACAGAGAGAGAGAGAGAGAGAGAGAGAGAGAGAGAUAGCUAGAUAGCUAGCUAGCUAGAUAGAUAGAUAGAUAGACAGAUAUCAAUGUGAGUGUCUUUGUGUAUGUUUACCCCUUUCCAUCACCAUCACUUGAUAACCACUGUUGGUUUGUUUAUGUCUCAGUAAUUUAACAGUUUGGCAAAGGAGACUGAUAGAAUAAAUACCAAACUUAAAAAUAUGUGCUACGGUUGAUUUCUUGAUUUGUUUGACUAAACUCUUCAAUGCAGUGCCCCAGCAUGGACUCAGUCUAAUGACUGAAACAAACAAAAGAUAACAUGCAAAAGAAGCUAUUAAAUUAUACCCACAAUUCCCAUAUUCCACAUGGAAUAUACCAACAAAUGACAUAUUCCAUAACUCCUCAUCUGAUAUCUCCUAUAUCAGGUAAUUCCACACAUGGUAUAUAUCUUACAUUGGAUAACACCACAGAUGAUAUAUUCGAUAUCAGAUAAUUCCACAGUUAAUAUACCUUAUAUUGGAUAACUCCACAGUUGAUAUCUCCUGUAUUGGAUAAUUCCACACAAUUCUCUGUGAAAUAAAAGAAAUAUUGAGAAGAGAUUAUUGAUUAUUAUCAAAUAUGUUUGAAAUAAAAUGAAUUAUUGUUCACAAACAUCAAGAAAUAAUAAUGAGAUUUAUUGUGUAUCAAUAUGGCAGCCUUCUUGUUCUGUUCCCUCUCUCCAUCUCUCUCUCCAUUUCUCUCUCUCUCUCUUUCUCUCCCCCUCUCACACAUACACAAAUAUACAGUCUUAUAUUUCUCGUCUAUCAACUGGUCUACCUUUCUCUCUGUCUCCCUCUUUAAUUCACCUUCUCACCUUUUUACUCUCUUUCUCUGCAUACAUGCAGUCUUGCUGGCAGACAUGAACAUACAUGCAUACAUGCAAUCAUACCUAUGCAUAUAUGAACAUAUAUAUAUAUAUAUAUAUAUAUAUAUAUAUAUAUAUAUACGUAAUAUAUAUAUAUGUAUAUGUAUGUAUAUAUGUGUGUAUAUAUAUAUAUAUGUAUAUAUAUAUAUAUAUAUAUGUCUAUGUAUAUAUAUAUGCAUGUAAGUAUAUAUGUAUAUAUAUACAUACAUAUAUAUAUAUAUAUAUAUAUAUAUAUAUAUAAAACCAUAAAUACAUCACAUAUACACAUAUACAUGCAUGCAUACAAACAUACAUACACACACAUAUUCACAGAUAUACAUACAUAUGACACACAUAUAUCAGACAUCUUUGUAAAUUUAAAGAACUAUGUGGACAAACACGCACCAAUCACAUCACACCUUAUACAUAUACACAUUGACUACAUAUAUAUAUAUAUAUAUAUAUAUAUAUAUCCCCAUACACAUAAGCUCCGUACAUUAUGCACACAUACAGCAAUGGUAAAUAUAUUAGUGAUAUUAAUGUAGAAUCUUCAAUUGAUCUUCAACAAAAACAUGAAAUUCUUUAGUAUUUCAACAAAUUAUAGAGUGAAUUCUGUGCUUUGUGCCAGGCGAUAUAUUAUUGUAAAUGUUCUUUUCAGUAAAAGACUGUCUUGUAGAGUUUGUUGUCACCAUUAUCUCUUUCUCCACCACAACCACCACCACCACCACAACCACCACCACCACAACCACCACCACCAUCAUUAUUAACAAUAUUGUAUUUUUCACACCAAUGAAACAACCUCUUCACUGUUAGAAGUAGUUGCCAAAAAUUUUGGACCUGAACUAUAGGUUUUUUGUUUUUUGAUGCAUACAAUCCAAAAAUGACAUCCAUUUAUUACCAUUAUGUCAAGAUUUGAAGAUACUGGAACCAUAGAAUUUCAUUGUUUUUUCUUUCUUUUUUUUCUUUUUUUUUUAAUGAAAUAGCUUGUGAGGAACAAGGCAUAAUAUACAAACAGAAAUUGAUUUUCCUUAAAAAGCAGAAUGUCUCCUUAAAAUUCUACUGAAAACUAGAAAAAUUUUUUAAUUUCUACGAACAAAUUACAUCACUGAUUAUGCCUAAUUUCUCAUGAAUUUAUAUUUGGAUGAUUUUCUUGAGUGCUGAACCUCAGGAAGCUCGUGAGCCAAGUUCCAGCAAUAGUCUGCCAUCAUAUGCAAGUCCCAUCAAUACCUUUGUUCCUUUGAUUUUACAUCCUGAUGGAAACAUACUCCCUGCUUGUCACUAGUGUCACCAAGAUUUUCAGGGAAUUCAUCAAAGAGUUUAUGGAGAUAGUGGGACUUUAUGCUCAUAUUUGUUCCCAACUUUUGAAAGUCCUCCAACAUAUUGUCAACUAUUGCGGCAUAGUUGGCUGCUCUCUCGUUGCCUAGAAAGUCAUUUACAACUAUUACAAAUGAAUUCCAUGCUACUGCUUCAAAGCAAUUCAUUGAACUUACAAAAUUCCCAUCUUUUUUUCAAUUUUCUGAUAUGCUACCCAUCAAAUACUCCAGCUUUUAUCUUUUCACUGCUCAGACCAGGAAAUGUUCUGCAAAUGUAGUGAAAACAUGGCCCAUCUUUAUCCAGAGCUUUAACAAACUGCUUCAUAAUGUCAAGUUUUGAUAUGAAAUGGGAGUAGGAUGAUUUUCCCCCAGUUGAACCAAAGGAUCUGCAACCACAUUAAAAGACCCUGGAGCUAAUGUUGGCUGUGACCGUUAUUUUUCUCCAGCUCUGCAAUCCUACAUACAUAGAAUAAAAAACAUGGGUAUUUGGUGUAUCCACUUGGUUGUCCCAGGAGAGCAAAAUGUCCACACAUGUCACUCACUGAUGAUUGUGGUGUUUGGGUGUCUUGAAAUCUAGACAAAUGAAUUCCAUUUAUGGAUUCAGCAUAUCAAAUUGGAGCCUGGUGCAGCCAUCUGGUUUGCCAGUCCUCAGUCAAAUCGUCCAACCCAUGCCACCAUGGAAAGCGGACAUUAAACGAUGAUGAUGAUGAUGACAUGCAAAAGUUCCAUGUAGAAAGUUAUGUAAUAUUAAGAAGGGAGAUCAUUUAGGGUCCUAGGACACCUGAUAUUUCCACUACGAAAUGUUCAAAAAGGAAAUUAUAGAAGAGCAAAGGUAAACGAUAGAAGCACAGAAAGCAGGAGGAGGAGUAGGAGGAGGACCAGAGGAAAUAAAGAAAUUGGUCAUUUUGUCAUGCUGGCAGGCAUGCAACACAUAUUUUCUUAUGGUGACUCCUUUCUAUAAUUUUCUGUGAAUUUCACUAACAACAUCUUUCAGUUUUCCUCAAUCCCAGAUUCCCAUAUCCCACUUUUUUGGAUGAUUUGAGAAAUAAUGUAAAGAUUUUUGAUACAAACAUGAAAUAAUACUACUGGUAAUAAUGAUAGAAUAGAUUCCUGGCAUUUACGUCAUGCAGAAAGCUCUCUACAUCUUUCUAUAUCUUGUCAUUUUCACUGUAAUACCCUCUGUAAGUGCUUUAAUAUAUCUGCCACAUUUUAGAAUUUCCGCAAAGUUAUAUCACUGAAGACACCUACAUUUUGGAGAAAGCAACUGUAAGAGAAGCACAUUUUGAUUCAGUAACCAACACUUUAAAAGUGGAUCCUUGAUAUACGCCAUAUUUUAAAAGAAGAUAGCAACUAUAAAACUCUUUGAUGUCUCUCUCAGUUCCAGUCAAAAUCUAAAAAUUUCACAGAAAGAUCUCUUGAAAGAUAUUUUUCGUACAAACACAUUUUAUUUCUUCAUUGAUGAAUUAACAAUUAAGAUUAUUAACAUAAGUGCAAAUAUGAGAUAAUUAUAAGUACUAACUUCAGACAGAAAAGACAAACAAGCUCACUGAAUAGAUUCACAUUAUAGAUCGAUUAUUUGCAGUGAGACAGUGUUAACAUUUACACUACAGAAACCUUGCUUAAAUCUGUUUUUAUUCUUUUAAUUUGUAAAUUCAAUUAUUUAUUUCAAUUGUAUUUGUGUGUGUAUGUGUGUGUGUUUGGUUGUUGCUUUUUUUUUUUGGAAAAUGUGAGUGGUAGAAAUGUUAGGCCUGCUUUAUCCUAUAAAAUUUUAUCCCUUUAUGUUUGUUAUAAAGGGACUUAUGUUUUAUCUCUAUCUCUCCGAGGUUGAUUACAUAAGUAGUAGGCAAGUUCUGAAGUUCAUUCAAUUGAUGAAAUGCAUUUCAUGUAAAUGUCAUCAAGUGCUUAUGUGAGAAAUCAAUAUUUCAAAUGUGUGCGCAUGUGUGUGUGUGUGUAUGUGUGUGUGUGUGUGUGUAUGUGUGUGUACAUUACUAAAUGUUGAACAAAUGAGAAAGAAAUGCUUAACACAUGUUAUAAAAGAUAUGGUUUUUAUUAAAACUGAAGCUGAAAAUUACUUUCGACUUGAGUUUUAUGCCAAUUUGAUCUUCAGGCACAGGGUAUGUUUCCUUCCAGAGUAUCCAUGUGUAUAUUGUACCAUAUUCUAUUGGUUUCUUAGUUCGUUAGGAGUGUUCAACCUCAUAAUGCCCAUUUAAUUGUAUAUUGCUUAAUUUUAAAUGACUAUACAAUGAGUUAGACACCCGAAGAUCACAGCGGCAAGGAACUCGAGUGAUGGGAUAAACCCUCAGCUUCAGAUGUAGCAUAAAAAAUAUAUAUACAUGUGUGUGUGUGUGUGUGUGUGUGUGUGAAGGUCCUGGAGGGUUAGAAUGAUGGGAUAUUCCUGAUGCAGCACUCAGCCUGAGAUUGAGGCUAUCUACACUCUUGAAUUGUAGUCUUACGUAAGAUUGAAAGUCUUCUGGUGUAGAAACUCUAGGUAUCCCAUUGGUAAAACCAAUGGCUGCCAAUUCAACAUAUGUGUAUUGAAGUUUUUCAUCCUCCUAUAUUACAUGUGUGAGACACUAUCACACAUUUAUAUGUUUCAUAUGGGGAACUCUCCCUUGCCGGUAUUGUAUGCCUUCUUCGGCAAGCAAAUAAGAAAACAUCUACACGACAACUCCACUUGCAAGAUGGAGCAACCAAAUAUCAGGGCAAAAUUUCCCUGCCAUCUUAAGAAUAUAACAUUGAAUGAUAUAUGUGUGUAAGUGCAUGCAUGUGUGUGUGUGUAUGCACACACUAACACACUAAUGUAUGUGUGUACAUAUGCACACUGUAUAUAUGCGUGUGCAUGUAUGUGUAUGUGUAUAUAUCCCCUUCUCUUUCUCUUUCUCUCUCUCUCUCUCUCUCUCUCCAUAUAUAUAUAUAUAUAUAUAUAUAUAUAUAUAUACAUACACACACACACACAGACUCAUAUAUAUUAAAUUAUGUUGGUGUAUGUGUUUAUAUACACACACACAUACACAUAUGUAUACAGUGAGAGAGAGAGAGAGAGAUAGGGGGGGAGAAGAUGUAAUAUACUAUGAAACAACUCAAAGCCAAACUGUUUGGUCUGUCUGCAAUUUGAAUAAUAAGUCUUUGAUCAAAUUAUAUCUGAAUUUCCUAUCAAUAAAUGAAGAGAAUCUUUCAAUAACAUAGACAUAAAAUAUAUGUGCAGCUCUGAUUUAUAUUCCUAAUUGAUAUAAUUGUUUAUCUCAAGAUAAAUAUAGGCUUAACACGACAGGGAGUAUCAUUGCUCCUCUGCAUGUUAUUAUAUCUACGUGGCAUACUUUUAAUUCUGCCUUAACUGCAUUUACUUAUUAAUAGAAAUAUUGUCAUAAGGGAUAAUAUAUGUAAGCUAAGGGACAGGUUGAACUCUGAUUGAACUAGAUCUGCUAUCCUAAACAUUACUUUGUAAUUCCGAGACACAAUAGUGUUGAUAUUUUAAUAUAUUUAAACAUUAGAUUUAGGCAUUUGUCUCCCUACUGUUUUCUGUUAAGUGUGUAUAAGACUCCCAUCUGCUUCCACAAAUCUGAAGUGAGUUAGAAAAAGAAAGGUAAUCUGUUAUAAUUUUCCAUUCACUCUAGAUAUUUCUGCUAAUAUAGCCAGGAGCUUCCUGUCCUUAAGUAGCUAGCAUUUCCCUAGAACCCAUGGAUAUUAUAAACUUUUCAGUUCCCAUAACGUUAAAGUAAGCUAUUCCUGUUUAGAUAACAUCACUUUCAACAUUGCACAUUAUAAUGGAAACAAACAUACAUCCACACAAUUUCUGCCCCACACUUCCACCUGCAACUGUUGGAAUCUUACCUACUGUCCACUAGGAGGAUUCUAAUUCACAAAAGCCAUAGUCUAUAAACCCACCCUUACACCAUCUGAUGGUAUUACAGGCUAUUAUACAGACAUGAGAGCUAAUAACUUCAAGGAGGGAUAUUCGCAGCACACACACUGCUUCAGAUGACAGGGAAACUCUACCACCUUGUCCAAUUUUGUCUGGAAAUUCUUGGACUACAAGUAAUACCUCACUCGGCAUCAAAUGAGAAAUUUUCAAUAGGGUCUCCCUUUAAUCAACUUGAGCUUGUACCAUGCCUCUGAGAAAGGAUGCACGUACUCCAACAGUCUACAAUAUCUAUAUCUAUAGAAAGACUGAUAUUUCAUAUGGUUGUCAAAAAAGAUAACAUUAUCAUAGGGUGCUUUUGAUGUAUUCCAAACCAUAGUACCCUGAUAAUCCAAACAUAUUACCAUAAACCUAACUUUACUAUCAAAGCUGCUUGUACAGAGAUUAUCACUCUUCAUUUCUUCAUUUCUACGACCCAGCAGAUGCACCAGGCACAUCUGCAUCAAACAUUACACACUUCUUUUCUUUGAUGAGCCAAACAUCUUUUUCUGAAUUCAUACAAAUAACCUCAAAAAACAUGCAUAUAUAUAUAUAUAUAUAUAUAUAUGUAUAUAGUGAGUGGAUCAUAUAUCCAAAAAAGCAGACUCUAAACAAAUGAUAGAGCAGUAAUAGAUUUAUAGGAAGUUAAUUAUAUGGUUAUAUGGUCUGUCAUAGAGUGACCAAUGGUUUUGCAUCCAUAGAGCACUUAGCCUUAUAGACAGCUCAUCAGAUUCCAAUGGCCCAUUGGAGUUUGAGUGCUUUAUGGAUGUUAAACCAUUGGUUACUCUAUGACUGGCCAUAUAAUUAACUUCCUAUAGAUAUAUAUAUAUAUAUAUAUACUUUAUUUAAAGCAGCAGAAAAUUCAACAAAAUCUGUUACUCUGAGUUUCGUUGCCAUUCAUCAGACAAAAACUAUCUGAUGAACGGCAACGAGAAACUCAGAGUAACAGAUUUUGUUGAAUUUUCUGCUGCUUUAAAUAGAGCAUAUUACUCUACCACUGGUAUUUGAGUACUCUUUUUUUCCACCUUGUUUCACAUUUAUGUGUUUACUCUGGUAUAUAUAUAUAUAUAUAUAUAUAUAUAUAUAUAUAUAUAUAUAUAUAUAUGUAUAGAAAAGAGUGAAAAAACUACAGAAGGCUUGUUUUAUAAGGUUAAACCUUUCAUUACCAAACCGCCCAAAGCCACCCGAAAAAAAUUUUGGUUAAUGUGACCAAACCGCCCAAACCCGCCCGAAUUUACCUAUUCGUAUUUAAAUGAGAAUAUCAGAGCAAAUCUCUUUAGUACAUUCGUGAAAACACGUAUUAUACUUCGUAAACAGUUCAACUACAGUUUUGUACAAUAAUCGAAGUGUAAUUUUUAACUCCGUGAAUUUUGGGAGAUUUUUUUUCCGAAAUUUGUUCCUAUUGUGUUUUCAAAAUUUGUAAUUCUGACAAAAAAUGGAUACGAAUUUCAUUAUAUCAAGCAGCGAGUCAGAAUUCGAAGGAUUUUCUACUGAAGACCUUCAUAAAUCUAACUCUAUGACUGAAAAAAAAAGCAUGUGGUAUUUGAUAAUGAAUCUGAUGUUUCAUUUUCCGAAAGUGAAAGCAGUGAAUUCGUGAGCUCCGACAGCGAUAAAGAAAACGAAUUGGCACCUGAAUGGAGUGAAAAUUUAAAAACUGUUUCUUUCGGUGAUUUUUCUGAAGAAACUGGACCAAGCCACAGACUUUCCCAGGAGAGUAAAGCCUUAGGCUAUUUCUAUUUACUUUUACGAUUGAGCCUAUUUGAAAUCAUUACGGCGGAAACGAACCGUUACGCUAAAUGUAAACAAAACGAAAGAAACGAUAGUUUGUGGUUUCCCACAACCUUAAAUGAAAUUAAGACUAUUUUGUCAUAAAUAUUAUUAUGGGUAUCAGAAAGUUACCCAGAAUAACAAAUUCUAUCGUAAAAUUUUGUUGUAUACCCAAUUGAAUAUUAGCUAAUAACCCAUUUUCUAUAGCGAUGUUUGAACAAAAUUUUAAUAAUUUUAUAUUUUGUUGAAUUUACCUGUAUCUACCUGCAAUUAGAGUCGCUUUGUGACAAAAAUUAUAGUAUAGAAUUGGUUGAGAAUAUUUCAUUAAAUUAUCUUCCAAAAAUCACAUUAAUAUAUUGAUAAAUAAAAAAGUUAUAGUUGUUUAAUGAAACCAGACUAAAUUUAUGAUUACGUUAGAAAUUAAUUGAAACACAUAAGGGGUGUAUUUUGGUCAGAAAUAUAGUAACGAAAGGGUUAAAGAAUAUAUUUAAGUCGUUAUGUUAGAAGAAUGUUAUAAAAUUUUGCAUAUAGUAACAUAGUUUUUGAAGAAAUUACCGGUUUCGUGUUAACUUUUCAAAUUUCUCAAAUGUCUUUACCUACAUCGUGUCAUGUCUUCGUUAUGCAGUGCAAAGAAGAGUUCCAGGCAGGGGGAGGUAAUAAGCGAUUUCUUCCGGUAUAAGGGAAAUAAUCGCUUUAUAUUUCUUUUCCCUUAUUUAAUCAGAUGAGUUUCUCUGUAUAAGAAUGUUAGGAUGGUUAAGUUCAGGCUUAUAUUUUUCAAUGAAGAAUGUUUCCUUGUUUAAUCUAAUUUAUGUUGGUGUUCCAAUAGCACAUUGAUAGAAUGGAAAGAUUAAAAAUUUUGGUAGUAGUUGCUUUGCGCAUUUCUCAAUAUGCUCACUAAAGGGUAUCAUUCUGUAUUCUGGGAAUGCAAUCUGUUGUCGAUGCAGAAUGCAUCUACGUCUGAGUGAUAAUCCCGUGGACCCCACGUAGUUUUGGUGGCAGCCCGAGCACCUUAUGACAUAAAUUAUAUUUUCAGAAGCACAAGUAAAAUUAGAGCUGAUCUUGAACUUUUGUCCCUCUUUGAAAAGGAAUUCUGAUCCUUCUAGAAGGUUUGGGCAUGUUGCGCAGUUUGGUCGACCACAUGUUUUUACUUUUGCAUCCGUAAUUUCAGAAAACAAUUUUGCCUUUGUGAGAAUCUUUUUAAGUGAUUUAGGUUGUUUGUAGCUUUUAAUGAUUUUAUGUAUGUUUAGAAGCUCCUUUAAUUUGGGGUCCUUAUGAAGUAUUGGUAAAUUCUGGGUGAUGAUGGUGAAGGCUUCUUUGUUUCUGGGGUUGUAAGUGGAUAUGUAAGGCAGUAUUUUCGGGGAAGGUGUGUUGUUGUGUUGAACUUUUCUCAAAGUUUCUAUGUCGAUUUCUGUUGCACGUCUGAUCCUAUCCUCUAUGAGUUGAACUGGGUAGUGUCUGUCAAUUAGGGUGUUCUUGAGUUCUUGUAGAAAUGGGUGCGUGGUGUUUGAUUGUAUAAUAAACACCCAUGUGACAAAGUUGCGUUUUGUCCCUACCUUCAAAACAUAGAGUAGAUAAAACAGGGGACAACUGAUGAAGGGAAUGUUCUUUAUGUUGCCUGUCUUGUUUCUCUGUUAUUUGUCUUUUUCGUUGUUCGAAAAAAGUUUGUUUUCUAUGUUUUUGCUUUUUAUGUUCUUGUUUCUCAUUUUGUCUACAUUUUUUUGAUGUUCUUUACACAUAUAUGAUUGUAUAUAUAUUCAUAUAUAUGUAGGCACGUAUAUAUAUGUAUCUAUAUAUGCAUAUAUUUAUAUAUUAUUUAUAUUAUUAUGUGUAUAUAUUUAUAUAUAUGUAUAUAUACACAUAAAUAUAAAUGUAUACAGCUAUACAUACAAAUGUAUGUGCAUGCAUGAGUGUGCAUGUGUGUGUGUGUGUGCACAUGUGUGUGUGUGAAAUAUGUUAGCAAUCAGCCUAAACAACUGCUCAGUCCAUCUCUGUAUGUCUAGCAAGAAUGACUAGAUAUUUUUACUAGAUUUGCUGAAACAAAGAAAGCUGUCUGCUGAUAGAUAAUAAAUAUAUCCUCUCCAGCCAACGUUUGUAUUCAAUGCUUAUUUGAUCAAUGGUCCUUCCCGCUCUCUACCAGUGCUACUACACACAGACAUACAUACAUAUAUAAUGAUAUCGCACUAUUAUUAAUGCUUAGUAUCAAUUGUAUCAAUGAUAUAUAGUUGUUAUGCAGAAAAGAAAAAUAUAAACUAGAAAGUAUAAUAAACAAUGCAGAAAAUAAAACAGAAAUUAGGUUUGGAGAGUUAGUUAUCCUCUCCUUUUUUCAAUUUAUUCUUCUUUACUGAUCAUAUGGUUAUAUUGUCUGUUGUUGAUUGAUAAAUUUAUACAAACUUUAGGUUGACUUAUUUACUUAUGGAAUCACUGCCAUUGGUUAUUGCACAUGUACGUAUGUAUAUACAUAUAUAUAUGUCAGGUCACUUUCAAGUGCUACUGGUAAAAUGUAACCCAGUACAACCUGUUGCAUGGUCGAGUCGUCGGCGACUAAACCAGCAACCCCACCAAGCUUGCUUGGUGAGGAGGGUGUUUAUUGGACACCCUGCGGGGUGAAAAACAAAGCCCGUCAAAGGGCAGAGGAACUCUUGAGAGUCAACGGCCAUCCAAUAAAUGUCUUAAGGCUGUAUCAUGUGCGGGGACUUAGAAAUAAUCGGACUGAAUACCCGAUCACGCGGUUAAACCAUUGGGAGUGAAGGACUCCUAGCCUUUGUUAGGGCAUCCUUCUAGGAGAAGGUAACUCAGGUAACUGGGAUAACUCCGACAUAAAACCUGCGGCUCAUUGGUUACCGAUGAUGUUGACUUGUUCUUCUUUUCGGAUUAUGGCUGCUGUUGUUUAGUGAGUGGGAUUGACUCAGUGCACAGCCUUUCCUCACUUUAAAAAAAAUCUUCUUGCACAGGCAUUGCACGAUAACAAUAUUGAUUAGGCUUCGUGCAAUGGCCAUACUCAAUAACGAGGGGGCAGCACCAUAUAUAUAUACAUAUACUGGAGGAGAAGUUUCAGGUGUGGAAGCAAGGAUUAGAAUCAAAGAGCCUUAGAGUCAAUCUAGCUAAAACCAAAGUCCUAAUAAGUAGGAAGGUAGACAAAUCACAAACGCCUUCAGGUAGAUGGCCCUGCUUGAUCUGUAGAAAAGGUAUAGGUAGAAACUCUAUAAGAUGCACCAAGUGUAAGCUAUGGACACAUAAGAGGUGCAGCAAUGUCAAAGGAAGGCUAACUAGGAAGAU